GCACAUGAGUAGCGACAAACAGGGUGAGAGACCCUGUCGCCGAAAGUCCAAGGGUUCCUGCUUAAAGCUAAUCUGAGCAGGGUGAGCCGGCCCCUAAGGCGAGGCCGAAAGGCGUAGUCGAUGGGAACCAGGUUAAUAGUCCUGGGCCAGGAGAUGGUGACGGAUCGCAGGUGUAGUUCCUCCUUAUCGGAUUGGAGGGGCUGCUGAGCGGUUCCUGGAAAUAGCCCUCCACAAGACCGUACCCUAAACCGACACAGGUGGACUGGUAGAGAAUACCAAGGCGCUUGAGAGAACCACAUUUAAGGAACUCGGCAAAAUACCUCCGUAAGUUCGCGAGAAGGAGGCCCGAUUGGCAGGCAACUGUUGGUCGGGGGCACAAACCAGGGGGUGGCGACUGUUUACUAAAAACACAGGGCUCUGCGAAGCCGCAAGGCGACGUAUAGGGUCUGACGCCUGCCCGGUGCCGGAAGGUUAAAAGGAGAGGUGCAAGCCUUGAAUUGAAGCCCCGGUAAACGGCGGCCGUAACAAUAACGGUCCUAAGGUAGCGAAAUUCCUUGUCGGGUAAGUUCCGACCUGCACGAAUGGCGUAACGACUUCCCCGCUGUCUCAAAUGUGGACUCAGCGAAAUUGAAUUGUCUGUGAAGAUGCAGACUUCCCGCGGUUAGACGGAAAGACCCCAUGCACCUUUACUACAACUUCGCACUGGCAUCAGGAUUGCGAUGUGCAGGAUAGGCGGUAGGCUUUGAAGCGGGGACGCCAGUUCCCGUGGAGCCGUCCUUGAGAUACCGCCCUUCGCUGUUCUGAUGUCUAACCGCGGCCCGUUAUCCGGGUCCGGGACCCUGCGUGGUGGGUAGUUUGACUGGGGCGGUCGCCUCCCAAACAGUAACGGAGGCGCGCGAAGGUUGGCUCAGAGCGGUCGGAAAUCGCUCGUUGAGUGCAAUGGCAGAAGCCAGCCUGACUGCAAGACUGACACGUCGAGCAGAGUCGAAAGACGGCCAUAGUGAUCCGGUGGUCCCGAGUGGAAGGGCCAUCGCUCAACGGAUAAAAGGUACGCUGGGGAUAACAGGCUGAUGAUGCCCAAGAGUCCAUAUCGACGGCAUCGUUUGGCACCUCGAUGUCGGCUCAUCUCAUCCUGGGGCUGGAGCAGGUCCCAAGGGUAUGGCUGUUCGCCAUUUAAAGAGGUACGUGAGCUGGGUUUAGAACGUCGUGAGACAGUUCGGUCCCUAUCUGCCGUGGGUGUUGGAGACUUGAGAGGAGUUGCCCCUAGUACGAGAGGACCGGGGUGAACGUUCCACUGGUGGACCUGUUGUCGUGCCAACGGCAGUGCAGGGUAGCUAUGAACGGACAGGAUAAACGCUGAAGGCAUCUAAGCGUGAAGCCCCCCUCAAAACAAGGUCUCCCUUGAGGGCCGUGGAAGACCACCACGUCGAUAGGCCGGAGGUGUAAGCGCAGCAAUGCGCUCAGCUGACCGGUACUAAUGGCUUG
rnacentral:rRNA from 1 species